CCCUUAGAUGUUCUGGGCUGCACGCGCGCUACACUGAUGCGCUCAACGAGUUUUAACCUUGCCUGGAAAGGUUGGGUAAUCUUUUUAAAACGCAUCGUGAUGGGGAUAGAUUAUUGCAAUUAUUAAUCUUCAACGAGGAAUUCCUAGUAAGCGCGAGUCAUCAGCUCGUGCUGAUUACGUCCCUGCCCUUUGUACACACCGCCCGUCGUUUCUUCCGACUGAUACUCAUUGUGAGUUGCAAGGACCCUUUAUUGGGAAAUUGCUGCAAAUGCUUUGUAUUGGAGGAAGAAAAAGUCGUAACA
rnacentral:rRNA from 1 species